rnacentral:rRNA from 1 species
GGCCUACCAUGGUGGUAACGGGUAACGGGGUGUUAGGGCACGACACCGGAGAGGGAGCCUGAGAAACGGCUACCACAUCCAAGGAUGGCAGCAGGCGCGCAAAUUACCCAAUCCCGACACGGGGAGGUAGUGACAAUAAAUAACAAUACGGGGUUCUUUCGGAUCUCGUAAUUGGAAUGAGUACAAUUUAAAUCUCUUAACGAGGAACAAUUGGAGGGCAAGUCUGGUGCCAGCAGCCGCGGUAAUUCCAGCUCCAAUAGCGUAUAUUAAAGUUGUUGCAGUUAAAAAGCUCGUAGUUGAAUUUCGGGGUCAGCAGGUCGGUCGUGCCACUGGUAUGAACUGGCCUCGCUGAUCCCUCCCUCUUGACGAACUGUGAUGCCAUUAAUUUGGUGUCGCAGGGAAUCAGGACUGUUACUUUGAAAAAAUUAGAGUGUUUAAAGCAGGCUUUCGCUUGAAUACAUUAGCAUGGAAUAAUGAAAUAGGACGUUUGAUCCUAUUUUGUUGGUUUCUAGGAUUGACGUAAUGAUUAAUAGGGAUAGUUGGGGGCAUUAGUAUUCAAUUGUCAGAGGUGAAAUUCUUGGAUUUAUUGAAGACUAACUACUGCGAAAGCAUUUGCCAAGGAUGUUUUCAUUAAUCAAGAACGAAAAGUUAGGGGGAUCGAAGACGAUCAGAUACCGUCGUAGUCUUAACCAUAAACUAUGCCGACUAGGGAUCGGAUGAUGUUAAUUUUUUAAUGACUCAUUCGGCGCCUUACG